rnacentral:rRNA from 1 species
AUUGAACGCUGGCGGCAGGCCUAACACAUGCAAGUCGAACGAGUGGCGGACGGGUGAGUAAUGUCUGGGAAACUGCCUGAUGGAGGGGGAUAACUACUGGAAACGGUAGCUAAUACCGCAUACCAUCGGAUGUGCCCAGAUGGGAUUAGCUAGUAGGUGGGGUAAAGGCUAACCUAGGCGAAGAUCCCUAGCUGGUCUGAGAGGAUGACCAGCCACACUGGAACGGAGACACGGCCCAGACGCCUACGGGAGGCAGAAGGGGGGAAUAUUGCACAAUGGGCGAAAGCCUGAUGCAGCCAUGCCGCGUGUAUUAAGAAGGCCUUCGGGUUGUAAAGUACUUUCAGCGGGGAGGCGUUACCCGCAGAAGAAGCACCGGCUAACUCCGUGCCAGCCGCCGCGGUAAUAC